rnacentral:misc_RNA from 1 species
GAUGAAGAACGCAGCGAAAUGCGAUAAGUAAUGUGAAUUGCAGAAUUCAGUGAAUCAUCGAAUCUUUGAACGCACCUUGCGCCCCUUGGUUAUUCCAAAGGGCAUGCCUGUUUGAGUAUCAUGAACACCUCAACUCUUGUGGUUUCCCACAAUGAGCUUGGACUGUGGAGGUUUUGUUGGCCCUGUGGUCAGCUCCUCUCAAAUGGAUCAGCUUACCGGUGUUUGGUGGCAUUACGGGUGUGAUAACUAUCUACGCUCGUUGUCGUCUCCAAAUAACCUCCAGUGAUGGAGGUUCGCUUGAGCUUAUAAAUGUCUCUCCCCAGUGAAGACAGCCUUUGAACGUUCGAUCUCAAAUCAGGUAGGACUACCCGCUGAACUUAAGCAUAUCAAUAAGCGGAGGA